GCCUACGGGGGGCAGCAGUGGGGAAUAUUGCACAAUGGGGGAAACCCUGAUGCAGCGAUGCCGCGUGGAGGAAGAAGGUUUUCGGAUUGUAAACUCCUUUUAUAAGGGAAGAAAGGUGAUAGGAGGAAAUGACUAUCAAUUGACGGUACCUUAUGAGAAAGCCACGGCUAACUACGUGCCAGCAGCCGCGGUAAUACGUAGGUGGCAAGCGUUAUCCGGAAUUAUUGGGCGUAAAGAGCGCGCAGGUGGUUAAUUAAGUCUGAUGUGAAAGCCCACGGCUUAACCGUGGAGGGUCAUUGG
rnacentral:rRNA from 1 species